GAUGAGAACGUAGUGAACUGCGAUAAGUAAUGUGAAUUGCAGAAUUCAGUGAAUCAUCGAGUCUUUGAACGCACAUUGCGCCCCCUGGCAUUCCGGGGGGCAUGCCUGUCCGAGCGUCAUUGCUGCCCUUCAAGCCCGGCUUGUGUGUUGGGUCGUCGUCCCCCCCGGGGGACGGGCCCGAAAGGCAGCGGCGGCACCGCGUCCGGUCCUCGAGCGUAUGGGGCUUUGUCACCCGCUCGAUUAGGGCCGGCCGGGCGCCAGCCGGCGUCUCCAACCUUCUAUUUUACCAGGUUGACCUCGGAUCAGGUAGGGAUACCCGCUGAACUUAAGCAUAUCAAUAAGCGGAGGA
rnacentral:misc_RNA from 1 species